rnacentral:rRNA from 1 species
AAGAUUAAGCCAUGCAUGUGUCAGUACAAACUGAACCAAAAAGUGAAACCGCAAAUGGCUCAUUAAAUCAGCUAUGAUUCAUUGGAUCUGUACACCCAGUUUUCCUUGGAUAACUGUGGUAAUUCUAGAGCUAAUACAUGCACAUAUAGUCCCUAACCUCACGGGAAGGGCGCUUUUAUUAGUAUCAAAACCGGUCUGGCUUCGGUCUGUAAAACCAGUCGUGAUGACUCUGGAUAAUUUCAGCUGAGCGCACAGUCUUUGCACUGGCGCCGCUUCUUUCAAGUGUCUGCCUUAUCAGCUUUCGAUUGUAGGUUAUGUGCCUACAAUGGCUAUAACGGGUAACGGGGAAUCAGGGUUCGAUUCCGGAGAGGGAGCCUGAGAAACGGCUACCACAUCCAAGGAAGGCAGCAGGCACGCAAAUUACCCACUCCCAGCCUGGGGAGGUAGUGACGAAAAAUAACGAUGCGAGACUCAUCCGAGGCCUCGCAAUCGGAAUGAGUACACUUUAAAUCCUUUAACGAGGAUCAAUUGGAGGGCAAGUCUGGUGCCAGCAGCCGCGGUAAUUCCAGCUCCAAUGGCGUAUAUUAAAGUUGUUGCGGUUAAAAAGCUCGUAGUUGGAUUUCAGGAUUGGACUGAAGGUUCGCCGUGAGGCGUUUAAAACCUAUCAGUAUCCGAAACCAGCUAUCACAAUAACUUUGUGUAUGCCCACACUAGCUCACACGGGGUGUUCUUAAUCGAGUGCCCCGCGUGGCUGGUAUGUUUACUUUGAAAAAAUUAGAGUGCUUAAAGCAGGCCAACUGAAUGGCCUGAAUGUCUAUGCAUGGAAUAAUAUAAAAGGACCUCGGUUCUAUUUUAGCCGGGCUUUUUGUGGAACCCGAGGUAAUGAUUAAAGGAGAUGAAUGGGGGCAUUAGUACUGCGACGCUAGAGGUGAAAUUCUUGGACCGUCGCAAGACUAACAACAGCGAAAGCAUUUGUCAAGAUUGUU